GGAUACCAGCUGAGGAAUAUCAAGAACAAUUCACAGGACACCCAUGGCAGAGCCUUCUACAAACAUGCUGUCACAUUAACUCCUCUGUUCCUCCCAUUACUCCAAGUUUCAGAGUAAAGAACGGCCGGAACAUUUGGUGGAGAGCACUGCCAUGAUUUGUACAGAAUUCCCGUCACAGGGGUGGCUUGACACAGCAGAAGCACUUCUAACUUUGGGAUAUUACUGCUACCACCUGACUGCCAAAUCUAAGGACCCCAGGUGAUGACCACUGCUGGUGACACAGGCUCCAGGGGUCUUAUUCCACCCUGCUCCUCAGAAAUGGACAUAAUCGGAGAAAACAGCACCAGAACUGAUCUCUUUCACCGCAUGAUGACGUAGAACAAAGCUCACGAUGUUGUGUGACCUCAAGGAAGAUCAGGUCAGGACUGACACAUUCUAUCAUUUUCCUUCCUGAUAUAACAUUUUCUUGGUGAAGCAUUUUUUUUCUCCUUGUUUUGCUUUCUUCUUCAUGUAUCUAGACAAAAU